CCUACGGGGGGCAGCAGUGGGGAAUAUUGCACAAUGGGGGAAACCCUGAUGCAGCGACGCCGCGUGAGUGAAGAAGGAAUUCGGUAUGUAAAGCGCUAUCAGCAGGGAAGAAAAUGACGGUACCUGAGUAAGAAGCCCCGGCUAACUACGUGCCAGCAGCCGCGGGAAUACGAAGGGGGCAAGCGUGAGCCGGAUUUACUGGGUGAAAAGGGAGCGUAGACGGGUGGGCAAGGCUGGAGUGAAAGGCGGGGGCUCAACCCCCGGACUGCUCUGGAGACUGUACGGCUGGAGUGCAGUAGAGGUAAGUGGAAUUCCUAGUGUAGCGGUGAAAUGCGUAGAUAUUAGGAGGAACACCAGUGGCGAAGGCGGCUUACUGGACUGUAACUGACGUUGAGGCUCGAAAGCGUGGGGAGCAAACAGGAUUAGAUACCCUUGUAGUC
rnacentral:rRNA from 1 species